UACGGGGGGGCAAGCGUUGUUCGGAAUUACUGGGCGUAAAGAGCUCGUAGGCGGUUCGGUAAGUCGGGUGUGAAACCUCCAGGCUCAACCUGGAGACGCCACCCGAUACUGCUGUGACUAGAGUCCGGUGAGGGGAGCGGUGGAAUUCCUGGUGUAGCGGUGAAAUGCGCAGAUAUCAGGAGGAACACCGGUGGCGAAGGCGGGUCUCUGGGCCGAUACUGACGCUGAGGAGCGAAAGCGUGGGGGAGCGAACAGG
rnacentral:rRNA from 1 species